AUCUAUGGCCAUGCCACCCUGAAUGCGCCCAAUCUUGUCUAAUCUUUGAAACUAAGCAGGGUCGGGCCUAGUUAGUACUUGGAUAGGAGACUGCCUGGGAAUACCGGGUGCUAUAGACU
rnacentral:rRNA from 1 species